rnacentral:lncRNA from 1 species
GUCCCGGUGUGGAUGUCGCCACUGCACAGUGUGGUUUAUGACACUUUCCUCCUCCUCCUGGUGCCUCUGACAGAAACUUCUCCUCCGAGGUGUGGCUAGAAAAUAUGGGGAAGGUUUAAAUUAAAAAAAAAAAAUCUAUUACACUGCUGUGAAUAUCUUUAGUUGCGUGGUCUCCAUGUUGUGAAUGGAUUCAAAGUGCUUUCCUCGGGAUCCGGUGAAUAGGAGGACGACAUGGCGUCGUGUUUUCACGAGCUGCCUUUCUGGUGGACGACGCUCGGCAGCAGCAUUCUUCCCAUCUUGAGUGCACCUCACAGAGACCCUCAGGAAAGGACUCCAGAGCUGUUCGGAGGCGGAGUGACGGAGGAGUGGGAGCCAGGGGAGGAUGGGAGGGGCCUCAUGGCAGUGUCUCUGGCUGUAAUUUUUUCAUUAGAACCCUGACCUGUAUGUGGAUCGCCCCAUAGUCAGCUGCCCCACCCACUGUCCAGGAGCAACGGCACGGUCCCUCCCAGGCCUCUCACACCUUCCUCACACGUGCCACCCUUCCAGAGUCCUGGGACUGCCAUCUGGAGAGGCCUUGAUCUCCUGGUCCAUCCCCACGUGGGCACUGAGCGCUGGCCAGCAGGCUGCCCGGCCUCCUGGGUGGUCAUGCGCGAGGCCACACCCACCCUUCCCCAUACCCAUUGGUCUGUUCCUCACCAGCCUCCCAGGCAGUCUCUCUCUCUCUUAUCGUUCCGCCCCAGGGACCAGCCAGUCGCCUCACCUUGAAGGCGCCGCUAGAAAAGACUCCUGCCAGCCCUCCCUGUGGUGCCCACUCCAAGCUGGAGGCCUCCUCGCAUCGCCUUGGGGUCCCGGCGCCCACCCAUCCCAAUCCCAGGCACCCUGCCAGACUCCAUACCGUCCAGGGAGACCUGGGGCUCCCUUCUCGUGCCCUGGAAACCUGGCCUUGUUACAACCGAUGGCAGACACUGCAAACGCUACCGGAAUCCAGGCUGGGGUGUACCGAUGACUUCUUUCCCAAGGUGCUGAAGUGCUUCUAACCCUGAGCUCUGCACUCGGGCGCCGACCCUGUCUCAGCCUGACGGCCACUGCCACUUCCCGACUGGCUGCCUCUCCUCGCCCUCACCCAGUCCAAUCCACUCUCCUCGUAGCUGGAAAACUGCAAGAGGGAGAGUCGCCGACUGCGUCAUUCUUUACC